AACACAAGUUGAACAUUUCUGCCAUUUUUCUCUCUACCUCUGUUUGCAUUUUUCAGUUUUUUAGAUAAUUGAAAUAAACAGUCAUAACCCAAAACAAUGAAAAGUAAACUGGACAAACGAACCGAAUGAUUUAUACUAGCAUAUGUUUAACAUUAGAGGUAGGUAUGUGCAAAGUCAAAAAUAUUACAAUGACUGGCAUAAUGUGGUUCUACCAAAAUUCUUGAUUCAAACGCUUCACGUCUGUCUUCGCGUCAUUUCAUCGAGUCUUUUAUAUCGAGCACGAGUGAACCCAAGUGUCUUUGAUAACUGACGAGUAGUAGAGGCAGGUGCAAAAUGUUGUUCCUGCUAUGUGCUAUGUCCUGUAGGGUGCGAGCGCAGAUAACGUCUCGACGGGUCCCACAGGGCGGUAGCUGCCGCGGUUCUCACACGCUGUCCAGUGCCCGAGGCGGAUGAAACAGUACCCUACAACAUAUAAAAA